AACGAACGCUGGCGGCAGGCCUAACACAUGCAAGUCGAGCGAGGACUUCGGUCCUAGCGGCGGACGGGUGAGUAACGCGUGGGAACGUGCCCUUUGCUUCGGAAUAGCCCUGGGAAACUGGGAGUAAUACCGGAUGAGCCCUUUGGGGGAAAGAUUUAUCGGCGAAGGAUCGGCCCGCGUUGGAUUAGGUAGUUGGUGGGGUAAUGGCCUACCAAGCCGACGAUCCAUAGCUGGUUUGAGAGGAUGAUCAGCCACACUGGGACUGAGACACGGCCCAGACUACUACGGGAGGCAGCAGUGGGGAAUCUUAGACAAUGGGGGAAACCCUGAUCGAGCCAUGCCGCGUGAGCGAUGAAGGCCUUAGGGUUGUAAAGCUCUUUCAGCUGGGAAGAUAAUGACGGUACCAGCAGAAGAAGCCCCGGCUAACUCCGUG
rnacentral:rRNA from 1 species